UAGCUUUAAAUCAUUCAGCUACAAAUCUGUGUGGUAUGAUUGUGGCUCACAUUAGAGCGCUUAAACACGCUGCGUUUCUUACACUAUUGCUCUUGUGUUUUUGAAAACAUCACUUAAAGGCAAAUCAUUUGGCACAUUAGAUAGCAUGUUGAUUCAGAGAGCAAAUGUUCAUUUUACCACAAGCACAGCAAAGAAGCUCAUGUGGUUGCAGCUGCAAAUAAAUUCAGCUCCGGUGUCAUCGGUAUCACAGCCCUCUGUGCUCCAG